rnacentral:lncRNA from 8 species
AUGGAACUGUCUGAUUUGUUUCCCCCAAAAAGAUUAUCCAAGUCAAUUUAUAUAGGAGGUAAAUGCAGCACAUUUUCUCCUACAGAAACCCUAUUGUCUAACAGGGCAUGUAAACAGCUUGAAAGCCAGACUAACACAUUAACUGAUUGUGUGCUCUGGGCAAGUGGGCUACGAAUCUGCUUCCUAAAACAUCACACUCUACUAGCGAUCGUGCCACUCACACACAGCCCAUGCUCCCUCUCUCUGUCCCACAGCCCCCCCUCUCUCCAGCUCCCUCUCUCUGUCCCACAGCCCACCCUCUCUCCAGCUCCCUCUCUCUGUCCCACAGCCCACCCUCUCUCCAGCUCCCUCUCUCUGUCCCACAGCCCACCCUCUCUCCAGCUCCCUCUCUCUGUCCCACAGCCCACCCUCUCUCCAGCUCCCUCUCUCUGUCCCACAGCCCACCCUCUCUCCAGCUCCUUCUCUCUGUCCCACAGCCCACCCUCUCUCCAGCUCCCUCUCUCUGUCCCACAGCCCACCCUCUCUCCAGCUCCCUCUCUCUGUCCCACAGCCCACCCUCUCUCCAGCUCCCUCUCUCUGUCCCACAGCCCACCCUUUCUCCAGCUCCCUCCCUCUGUACCACAGCCCACCCUCUCUCCAGCUCCCUCCCUCUGUCCCACAGCCCACCCUCUCUCCAGCUCCCUCUCUCUGUCCCACAGCCCACCCUCUCUCCAGCUACCUCUCUCUGUCCCACAGCCCCCCCCUCUCUCCGUCCCACAGCCCACCCUCUCUCCAGCUCCCUCUCUCUGUCCCAUAGUCCCCCCUCUCUCCAGCUCCCUCUCUCUGUCCCACAGCCCCCCCCUCUCUCCGUCCCACAGCCCACCCUCUCUCCAGCUCCCUCCCUCUGUCCCACAGCCCCCCCUCUCUCCAGCUCCCUCCCUCUGUCCCACAGCCCCCCUCUCUCCAGCUACCUCCCUCUGUCCCACAGCCCACCCUCUCUCCAGCUCCGUCUCUCUGUCCCACAGCCCCCCUCUCUCCAGCUACCUCCCUCUGUCCCACAGCCCAGAUCUCUCUAGAACACUUACUUAG